UUUUAAUGAUCGAACAGAUCAAAAUUUUAAACUUUUGCAUCUAAAUUUUAUCUUAAUCCAACAUCGAGGUCGCAAACUUUUUUUUUUAUUUGAACUAAAAAAAAAUAUUACGCUGUUAUCCCUAAGGUAAUUUUUUCUUAUAAUCAUCAACAAUGGAUCAUUUAAUCAUUUAUUUAUGUUUACUAUUAAAAAAAGUUAUUUUUAUUUUUCUAUCACCCCAAUAUAAUAUUUAAUUUUAUUUUAAUGUUAAUUUUUAUAUAAAUUUAAAAUAAAAUUAAAUAUAAAACUCUAUAGGGUCUUCUCGUCUUUUAAAAUUAUUUUAGCUUUUUUACUAAAAAAUAAAAUUCUAAUAAAAAAUAAGAGACAGUUAAUAUUUCAUUAAAUCUUUCAUACAAGUUUUCAAUUAAAAAACUAAUGAUUAUGCUACCUUUGUACAGUCAUAAUACUGCAGCCCUUUAAUAUAAAUCAGUGGGCAGAUUAGACUUUAAAUUAUACCUCAAA
rnacentral:rRNA from 1 species